rnacentral:rRNA from 1 species
GUAGGGAAUAUUGGGCAAUGGAUGCAAGUCUGACCCAGCCAUCCCGCGUGCCGGAAGAAGGCCUUCGGGUUGUAAACUGCUUUUGUAUGGAACGAAACGGUCCUGGUUAAUACCUGGGGCUAAUGACGGUACCGUAAGAAUAAGCACCGGCUAACUACGUGCCAGCAGCCGCGGUAAUACGUAGGGUGCGAGCGUUAAUCGGAAUUACUGGGCGUAAAGCGUGCGCAGGCGGUGCUGUAAGACAGGCGUGAAAUCCCCGGGCUCAACCUGGGAAUUGCGCUUGUGACUGCAAGGCUGGAGUGCGGCAGAGGGGGAUGGAAUUCCGCGUGUAGCAGUGAAAUGCGUAGAUAUGCGGAGGAACACCGAUGGCGAAGGCAAUCCCCUGGGCCUGCACUGACGCUCAUGCACGAAAGCGUGGGGAGCAAACAGGAUUAGAUACCCGGGUAGUCC